rnacentral:rRNA from 1 species
UGGGGAAUUUUGGACAAUGGGCGCAAGCCUGAUCCAGCCAUGCCGCGUGCAGGAUGAAGGCCCUCGGGUUGUAAACUGCUUUCGUACGGAACGAAAAGCCUCUUUCUAAUAAAGAGGGGUGAUGACGGUACCGUAAGAAUAAGCACCGGCUAACUACGUGCCAGCAGCCGCGGUAAUACGUAGGGUGCGAGCGUUAAUCGGAAUUACUGGGCGUAAAGCGUGCGCAGGCGGUCUUGCAAGACAGUGGUGAAAUCCCCGGGCUCAACCUGGGAACUGCCAUCGUGACUGCAAGGCUGGAGUACGGCAGAGGGGGAUGGAAUUCCGCGUGUAGCAGUGAAAUGCGUAGAUAUGCGGAGGAACACCGAUGGCGAAGGCAGUCCCCUGGGCCUGUACUGACGCUCAUGCACGAAAGCGUGGGGAGCAAACA